rnacentral:misc_RNA from 1 species
GGAAACAGCAAGUGAUUUUCACUGUCGAUGGACGAUGAAAAUGAGAGCUUUAAGCAAAUGAUCCACUGUCAAUACCAUGAAAGCUACACCAAAUUAAGGUUCCCCAAAUGUGUUCUCUCCACUGUAGGUAACAUAAAGGAAACCGUCUUCAUCCUUCUUCUCGUCAUAGAUGGAAGACAUGAUUGCACCUGUUGGUGGUAGGACAUUGUCGACGAAUAUGAAAAUUGCCUUUUCUGCACUCAAUUUAAUCCUUUUUCGAAUGACAUACACAAACUGCCCUACCGUCAAGUCAGCUGGGACAAGAUA